GCACAGUUUAUACCGUAGCUUGCUACACCAUAGACUGUGAGUUGCGAACGGGUGAGUAACGCGUAGGUAACCUGCCUAUUAGAGGGGGAUAACUAUUGGAAACGAUAGCUAAUACCGCAUAACAGUAUGUAACACAUGUUAGAUGCUUGAAAGAUGCAAUUGCAUCGCUAGUAGAUGGACCUGCGUUGUAUUAGCUAGUAGGUAGGGUAAAGGCCUACCUAGGCAACGAUACAUAGCCGACCUGAGAGGGUGAUCGGCCACACUGGGACUGAGACACGGCCCAGACUCCUACGGGAGGCAGCAGUAGGGAAUCUUCGGCAAUGGGGGGAACCCUGACCGAGCAACGCCGCGUGAGUGAAGAAGGUUUUCGGAUCGUAAAGCUCUGUUGUUAAGGAAGAACGAGUGUGAGAAUGGAAAGUUCAUACUGUGACGGUACUUAACCAGAAAGGGACGGCUAACUACGUGCCAGCAGCCGCGGUAAUACGUAGGUCCCGAGCGUUGUCCGGAUUUAUUGGGCGUAAAGCGAGCGCAGGCGGUUAGAAAAGUCUGAAGUGAAAGGCAGUGGCUCAACCAUUGUAGGCUUUGGAAACUGUUUAACUUGAGUGCAGAAGGGGAGAGUGGAAUUCCAUGUGUAGCGGUGAAAUGCGUAGAUAUAUGGAGGAACACCGGUGGCGAAAGCGGCUCUCUGGUCUGUAACUGACGCUGAGGCUCGAAAGCGUGGGGAGCGAACAGGAUUAGAUACCCUGGUAGUCCACGCCGUAAACGAUGAGUGCUAGGUGUUAGGUCCUUUCCGGGA
rnacentral:rRNA from 1 species